GAUGAUGUUUGUAAAGCCGAACAUUUUAGUUAUGCUAUUGUUCUUGAAGUUUAAUAUUUCUUUUAUCUAAAUAUCUUCUAGCUUAUUUUACAAGUGAAAGAGUUUACAUUUAGGUACAAAACGUUAAAUGAAAACAAAUGCUUAUUAUGGACUUAUGAUCCAGUUAUACAUUUCUAAGGCUAAAACAAGUUCCUUUCAAAACAUAUCCCUUAAUGAUCACUCUGCUGAGAUUCUUUGUGUUAUAUGUGUAUCAGUUGUAAAGUUUCUAAAAUAAGUACAAAUGUAUUAAGAAUUUGUAGUGAAACUCUUCUCAAGAUAUUAUAUCUUGACAGGUAUGUCAAGAUAUAUUGACAGGUGUGUUAAUAUAGUGGACACUUGGUCCUUAUUGAUUGGAUGAAUGGAUUUAUAAGGCAGAGGAUUUUCCACUUGGUAUGAUGGCUGAAAUACCAUGAUAAGAUAUCGGGCAUUAGCUCCUACACUACUCAUCACUGGACGCCUGUGAAACGGGGUAUACAUUUUAUUUAUUAUUCCUUCUCCCUGUCUUCCCUAGUUCCAAACCAGCUCUGACACUUUGGUCUGAAUUGGGGUUGGUCAGUCUGUUUCCACCACUGACCAUACAGACCAUCUCUAAGGUGGCUGACCCGGGAGUUUUAUUAGACUAGGCCUAGAGGCACUGGCCUAAUUGGACUUCUUUGCUUGGGGCUGCUGAGUAGGGUUUGCAAGUGAAGUGAUGACCAGGCCAGAGGGAACCCCACAGGACCACUCAGACUGGAAGGGAUCUGUUGGAUGAUCUACAUAUUCCAUGCUGUAGGGGCUGGAGUGAUGUUAGAGAAAUCUGCGGUCACUGGACACUUUGAAGUGUGGCUCCUUGGGGAUACGCUGCUGCGUGUUUUCCAGGGGUCACUGAUCUGUGCUGCAAAGCUGCCUCAGUGUUUCAGCAGCUUUCACUAUUGAAAGGAACAUGAGGAAAUUACUGAAAGAGAAAUAUUAGAAAAGCCUCCCAUCAUUAAUUCAUGACUUCAUCAUGUUUUACCUUAAGGCUUGGAAACUGACAGAGGCCUGAUUCUGAAGGUUUUGAAGAUUGAAGUCGAAGUUAAUAGUGAAAGUCACCUAUACACAAAAUGAAAAUUCAUCAAUCUAUGACGCUUCGUGCUCCGGGACCAACAUGAAAAAAAAAAGUGGCCCAUAAAAGUAAACUCACUCCCAUUUGAUUCUGAAUUUUAUAAACCUUAAGCUUUAUAAUUUGUAGAAUAUCUAUGUAUUUGUCCACCUUGCCUUACCUUCAGAAUAGAACUGAAUUCACCUGACAUAUAUAUACAACACAUCACAGGCACUUACACUUAUCUGAAUUUGAAGGCUUUGUGCUGAUGUAAAAUUUGCUUACCAGGGGUUAAAAAUGAUAUCCAUGACUCUGUAAAGCACUUUGACCAGUGUUGGUCAAUGUGUUCAGAAAUAAAGAACUUUCUAUAUCGUAUGUGCCUUUGGGAAUGAACUGCACAGGGGAAAAUCCCACUUUUAUUAAUAACUUAAAGAAAACAUGCAGAUAUUUAAAAACUUCCUCUAAAUAUGCAGGCAACAUUGAUAGUCAAAUGGAUAAAGAAGAUGUGGUACAUAUAUACAAUGGAAUAUUACUCAGCCAUAAAAAGGAACGAAAUUGGGUCAUUUGUAGAGAUGUGGAUGGACACAGAGACUGUCAUACAGAGUGAAGUAAGUCAGAAAGAAAAACAAAUAUCGUAUAUUAACGCAUAUAUGUGGAACCUAGAAAAAUGGUACAGAUGAACCGGUUUGCAGGGCAGAAACUGAGACACAGAUGUAGAGAACAAACGUAUGGACACCAAGGGGGGAAAGCAGCAGGGCAGUGGUGGUGGGAUGAAUUGGGAGAUUGGGAUGAACAUAUAUAUACUGAUGUGUAUAAAAUCGGUAACUAAUAAGAACCUGCUGUAUAAAAAAUAAAAAAAACACAUGCAGGCAGUUAUUUUGUGGUGCCUAUCAAAUGACGAUACCUAAUAAAGAUGGUUCAUUGGUUAACACCAAUGGCAAGGAGGGGGCAGCAUGGAUUUAAAGAUAAAAUGCAA